AUUCUGACAAGUUGAAGAAUAUUUUUUUCUUUUAGAUUUGAAAUUUACAAGUAUUUUUAUCUUUUCUUAACUUCUUAGAUCCCCAAGAAGGUGAAAAUACAGUUUAUGCAGAAGUUACGGAGGACUACAAGACACAAAAGCCACAGGAGAUGCUGCAGAAAUCAGAAAAUCCUAAAACUGUGUACGAUACUGCAGGAGCGCAGCCAUGUGUUACUUUGGAAACCAACCUGACCACACCCAAUCCUGACUCUAUGAAUCAGAAGAGCGACCCAGACAAACCAGUCACUGUCUACUGUGCCAUUCAAAAGCACUCAAAACCCUUGAUGUCUGAAACUGAUAACACCAUUUAUGCAGUUGUCAGCAAACCCUCAGCCUGCUUUGAAUCGGCACACUAACUGAAUUGAAAUGCAUUAAAAGCAUCAUCAGUACAGUAUAUACUAUGAUGUCGAUAUGGGAAACUACUGUAACUUCUUUAGGAUUUCAAUAAUAACUGUGCAGUGUGUGAUUUGCACUGACAGGGUGAUUUUUUUGGUCUGUCUGUCUGAAUAUAUUUCUAGUUAAAUGCCUUUUCUAUUGUUUGAAUAAUACAGAAAUUAAUGAAUUUAUUGAAAUUGUAUAAUUACUGAAGAUUUGUGACUCAGAGGAAUGUGAUUUCAUUAGAGAUUUCCAUUGAUGAUUCCUCACAACCCUUGAGGUCAAACUUUAAAACCACUUCCUGGAAAGUGUGUGUGUUGGUCUGUAACAGUCUAGUCAAAGGGGGUGUUGGGGGUGUUUGUUUGGCAAAAGAUGGAUCCCUUUGAAACGUUUUUAGAACAUCGGUACUAAAAAUAAGGGGUUCAGGCCUUCUAUUGUCCAUCACUAUAUGGGAUCUAUUUGUCUUGAGUAAAUGUUAUUCUGUUGUACUUUCUCACUUGUAAGUUGCUUUGAAUAAAAUGCAUAAACCUGCACUGUAAAAAAAAAUCUGUAAUUUUAGCAGUAAAAGACUGUAAAAAUGCGACAGAAAUAAAUGUUAAUUGAUGAACGAAUAUUAACUGUUAAAAUAUAUAUAUAAAUGUUACUGUAUAUUUUAAAGACAAUAAAUUAUUUUGUACAAUAAAAUGUUGUAAAAAUUUUAGAUGUAAAAAGUAUAAUUUUCCUGUAUAAUUAAUGGUUUAUACAGUAAAUUAUUGUUAAAAUGACAGUAAAAACAAUAAUCGGGCAUUCCCACAAUUCUCUGCACGACCCAUCAUAUUUAAUUAUAUGUUAUGGGAAUAGUUGUUUCUUCAUAUUUCUAAUAUCAGUUAUGUACAUUGGGGUGCUGUGUUUUAUAUUUAAUGUAGUUUAGUUCAUGUUUACUGCAUAAUUUAUAUUACACAUGUUCCCCGGAUGGUGUUUAGUGUUUGUGUGAGUGACGCUGAACACUGUCUCUACAUGUUUAUUGGUCAUUGCUCCUGGAAUUUUUAUGUGAUUAACAAUAUCUUAUAAAGUAAAAAGCAGAUUUUUAAGGUUAAUAUCUAGUUUAUGAUGUUCUUUUAGCAGUUAAAUAACAGAUUUUUAUUUAUUUUUUUCUUUAUAGUGCCAUCGUGGUCAUAUAAAUUACAACAGUUUUAAAUUGUAAAAUGUACAGGUUGUUCUAUAAAUUUAUUAAAAAUGUUUUUGUAUUUUGACAAUUUUUCUGGCAACCACAGCUUCCAGUUUUUUUUUUUUUUUUUGUAAAAACAGGAUUAUUUACAGUGAGUAUAACCUGUAUUAACUGAUUCGAUUGUUUUAUCUGUAUCUGUUAUUUUCUUUCUCAGUUUGUUCUGUUUCUCUGUUUCUUGAGUUUGUAUUCAUCUUUUGAACCUCUUGAGUGUUUAACCUGUUUAACUGUUUAAUGCCCUGUGAACAUGUUUAUUAAAUAAAACAUUCGAUUUCAGUUUGUUUCUCACCAAAUCUUACUGCAUUCAUUCAUAACAAUCACGAGUCUCAUGAAAUAAUUUAUUAGACUUCUGAAUUAUACUUUUGUGUUCUUUUGAAGUUUGAAGAGGUCGUCACCAUAAACUGCCAUUGAAUGACAUCACUGAGCAAAAUAUUUCUCCCUUUGUGUUAAAGUCAUAAAGGGUUAUAACAACACAUGGGUGAGUAAACAAUGACUGAAUUUUCAUUUUUUUUUUGGUGAAUUAAUCCUUUAAUAACAUUUACAAAUAUAUUUUUUUAUUGUAAUCAAUAUUAUGCCACAAAUGCCAUCGGUUGAGAUUAAAUUGUCUUGAACCUGGAAUAUUCUUUUAAAGGGGUCAUGACAUGAGAAACCAAAUUUGCCUUGAUCUUUUGGUAUAUAAGAGGUCUUUGUAUCAUUAAAACGUCCUGCAAGUUUAAUAUUUUAAGACGUCCUCCCCAUUCUAAACGAAUCAUUUAUUUAAUCAAGCUCAAAAUACAGCUCGUUCUGGAUUCAUGGUUAGAAGUGACGUGUCGGUUAGAAGUGA